rnacentral:tRNA from 1 species
GCCAGGGUAGUUCAGUGGUAGAACGUUCCCUUGGUAAGGGAAAGGUCGUGGGUUCGAUUCCCACCCUUGGCUCAA